GAACACACACUUACUUACACUCUGUAUCUUUGUUCUUUUCUAUAUAAAUAACGACAAUGGGUGGUUGUUUCAUUUUGUUUAUAUAAAAGUUGUGGAGAUUAGUCGGUUUCCUUCGCAGUCGCUUACUUAGGAUUCUUAGCCGUUGCCUUCUUAUCAAUUUUUUGAGAAUGUUAAGAAUUUUUUGAAAGCGGUUGAAGGGUUAAGGCUUCCGGUUUUUAAAGCUUCGGUUUUCGAAAGGGAUAAUAUGGUGGCGGGUUCGUCUGCUAAGAUUGUCAAUUGCGUGUUGGGGCUAAAAGAGUACUAUGAUAGUAAACAGAAGAAAAAGGGGAAUGGAUCUUUUAAGCAUGAUUUCGGAUCUCCUUUGAUGAUGCGUUCAAAUGGUAGGAACUUUAACAAGCAAUUGGAUUUGUCUGCCAAUUUUGAAAAGCAACCACCAUCUCAAAACGAUGCUCAGAAGAAGCUUGAAGAUUUACAGAUUUUCACUUUAUUUUAACUAUAUAUAAAAAUAUGAUUUUGGUGGUUACAUGCAUAAAUUAUUGUCUUUCAGUAGCUUCAUAAGAAGUUUUUGGUACAUUGUAGAUUUAAUUGUCAAGGCUUUAGAUGAAUGUAUGACUGAUGCAAAAUAGAAUUUAGAUGGUAACUUGUUGGCC